CACACAACAGGUUAAAAAAAAACACACCCUGACAGCUAACGAAUAUCUAUACACAAUCACUCUACAGUAAUGUUUGUUAUUAAAUUAAGAUGUAAUGACCUGGUUAACCCACUCUAAAUCUUUAAGAUGGAGAAAUACGACAGCAGCAGGUAGUUAUAUGCAUGAGCCAAUGUUAAUGUAAUACAGAAAGUGGAGGCAUUUACUGAUUAAAGCUCCACACAGACCCGCACAAUGAGGGACUAGCAAUUCUUAUUGCAAGCCCAGCAACUUAAGUCCACACCUGGUAAAUGACCAGCUGAUUGGAAGACCUGUAUUCUAGAUAGACAAGUACAAGUUAGUGAAAAGAGAAUACAUGCACCUAAUAGUUAGACUGAUCCUGCAGUCAUACUUUCCCUGUGCAAUACCAUAAAAUGGAAGAUCUUCCUCAACUAUAGGAUUUAGACAACAUUUCUAAUACCAACAUGGACAUUAGUGUUAAGUGCAGCUCAAUUAACUACACCGAAAAAAACUAUUCCAGGACUUCAGAACAGAAGCACAGGAAUGAAAUACAUAUAAUAAAAUAACCUCAGCAUAAUUUGCGAUAUACCACACUAGGAACAGGAAACUACUUUAAUAAGAGAACUUUUGGAACUGUACAUACACAGGGCUAACAAUGUUAGAUAAUCCAGAUUUUUAUGCUCAUGAUACACAUAAAAGUUUCUCAAUUAUUGGAUAAUCUAUUUCAUAUUAUGGAAGCAUAUCUUUCUUAAGACUCACUGAUAUAUAUUAUACUGAUGCAAAUAUUAAGUAGGGCAUAAAAAUAAAAUUUAUCAAAGAUAGAUUUUUAUGUACUCAUAUUCAGUCCUUUCAUAGCCUCUCUCAUUUAGCAAAGAAAAUGACAAAGCAAAUAGAUCAGGCGUGCACUCCCUGAACUCCUGACUAUACAGAUGGUAGUGCAACCAUUUCUCCAUCCAGUUCAAACUCCUCUGUUCCAUCCGGUGAAAAAAGAUAAGUUGGUGGUUUCCAUGGAGAUUCUUCAAGGCAGGAUGGAUAAAGUUUCCCCACAGUGCAUCGAAAAUCUCUCCCUAAGUCCCACAGUACACGUUCAGAUAUAUGCUGCCGCAGAGACCACCGGUCAAGUUCCAGAUCAUAUUGGUAAGUGACAUAUUUAGCUCUCUCAUUUAAGUGGGUUUCUCGCAUAAACACACAUAGAGAAUUUGAGAUCACAACAGCUCUAACACAGGGAUCUGAGUACCUCUUAGCAGGGAUGUUGGCUGCCAUUUUCCACUCAUUUUUAUUCACAUCAUAGAUUUCCACAGUUACUGAAGACCCAUCUACAGUGCCAGAGGGGAGUCUUAUGCCAGAAUUGGUAGCAAUGUGCAACCCUCCAAUAUAGAAAAUUUUAUCACCGAAAGCUGCAGCUGAAGCAAAAGACCUGCUAGUCUGUCUCAUGGCCAUUUCUACCCAUGAAUCAGACCUUGGAAAAUAACAAUACAUGAGGUUCAGUGUCAUCACGUAAAUGCAGUCAUGAACCACAACUGCUGCACUCCACUGCCAAGCACAAGGCAAAGGGCUUACCAUUGUCCAUUCAUCUUUCUCAGUGUCAUAUCUUUCUACGGUCCUCCGGUUAAGUUCUCCACCUACACUAUCUCCUCCAAUUGCAUAGAUAUAGCCUUCACAGCAAACCAAAGAUGGCUUUACGCGGACAAAAAGCAUCGGGGUCUUUGGAAACCAGAGGAACUUGACCACCUGCUAUAUAGAUGUCAUUAUCGGGAGUUACAACGGUCCCAACCUUAUGUAAAUCAGCUGGUGGGCUGCAUAGCUUGUAAACUUUUUCUGCUUGGGGGCUGUAACAGACAGAAGAGUAAAGACUACAAGGAUUUUCUGAAGAUGCUUCAAUGAAAAUCAUCAUCUCUUCUUUAGUCAUUCCAAGUCUUGGUUUGAAAAACUUGGGCAUGGACUUAUACAGACCUUGAACAACUACAGACUUAUCAUUGGGUGGCAGACCUUGAAACCAAGCUCUCUGUGUUACUUCUGAAAGUGCAUCAAUUCUGAUUUGGCUAAGAACUGAAGACAAAUACUGGGAUCGUGAUUCUGUGUUGUACUCUAGCCACAGCAUAGCAGCUUCACGAACUGUCUCCUCCUUUUCUACGUUCAAAUUGUCACUACUGAGAAUGUCUAUCAGUAAGUCAUGUGACAGCUGCAUGAAAGCUUCCUGGUGAUACACAGCAGUGAACUUGUGCUCCACCAUCCUUUUAGCACUUUGUUUUAAUUCCUCACAACUGAACAGAUCAGCAAAACUCAACAAUCGCACACAGUUCUCUGCAUUUAUCUUUUUAAUUAAAUAUUCUCGACAACGUUGUAACACAUCUUCUACCUAAAAUAGAAGGGAAAAAAAAGGCUGAUAAAGGCAGGCUAGACAAAUUUUAUUUUUAUGUAACACACAGGUAUAUUAAUCAGAUCCCUAUACUAUAGUUUUUAUUUUUAGAUACACAUGUUUGGGCUAAGAGAUAAUCUUCCAGUAAUAAUAAAAUUAGAAGACUAUGCAUAGUUUUGCAUUUCGUCUUCCUGUCCAGUGGCCUACUUAACUGCCCUAUUUAGGAGUCAGUAGUAUAACAUUAAAUAGGCUCUUAAAAACCUAAACAGCCUUAAAGGGAAAGGGAAAGAAAUUAAUUCAUGCAUAAAUUAUGUAUUUUUUAAAGCCUAGCAAAAUAUGUAAUUGAGAGAACCAAAUGAGAACAAUGUAAAUCAGUAUAGGAAAUGAUUACUGUUGAGAAGCUGGAAUCUGGUUUUCUUAACAUGGACAAGACAGUCAUAUAGAAGCAGAAAAUCAUACACAAUGCCUAACAGUAGUUAUUAUUUGCCUUUCUUACAUGGAGCAGUAGGAUAACCAAUCAAAAGAAUAUAUUCAUGUGCAAUUACAAAUUACCUAUAUUUAAACGACCCAUCUUAGCCACUCUAACUUUCCUAGAUUUGUUGUUUCUUAAGAAACAGUAGAUCUUGAGUCAGAAGUGCUACCUACUAUACUUAUUCAACGACACAGUGAUUGACUAGAAGCAGUUUGUGAUAAGAAGUCAGGUUGCUUGGAUUCAAAACCUGGAUUGGCCAGUCAACACUUGUACAGUAUCAGACAAGUAGCUUUACUUCUCUAAGCCUCAGGUUUCUCCUGUGUAGGAUGGGGAAAUCCUUCCUUACAAGUGAUUAUUUUAAGAAUUAGAUGAGAACCUAUAUAAAGCAUUAGUACAGAACCUGGCAUAUAAAAACAUCAUUUCAUGUGGUUAAUAGUAAAAGCCAUGUUGGUAGUCAUAAAAUGCCACAUUCCCAGGCUUGCCAGGGCAACUUACUCCCAGAGGCAGAGUGCUGUUUUGCAUUUGGCCAAGCAUAUGCCUAUAGGUUUCAUUAACAUGAUAGAAAAAAAUUAUAAGGAAAGGUAUCACUAUAAUAACAAUGUUCUGGAAUCCAAAUUUCUUAAAAUUCCUCAAUUUUUUAGCAAUUCUAAAAAAACUUGCUUUUAGAAUUGCUAAAAAAUUUAAAAAGGUAAUGAAAACAUAUAAGCUAUGGAAGAAAGACAGUUCUUACAGUAGGCAUUUCUCCCUUUUAGGUUUGGAUUUAGGAUGUGAAUGUCUUCCGUUCUAAAGCACCAGGAAGCUACCAUGACUUCAGUGUCCCCAGAGUUAUAGGUAUAGUAGGACACUGCACAGUUUAUGGGUGGGGGGGGAAGAAUACAGAACUAAAAAGGAAGACAGGUACUUAAGGCAUGGACAGACUGAGUUCUGGUUCCCAGAGUUACACCCAGAAACUGGCAUUCGACCGGCAUCAUUCACAUUUAUUCAGCACACAUUUAUCAAGUACCUACUAGGUAUCAUGAACUGUACUCCCAGAAUUUAACCUUUAAAGUUUCUCCCUUUGGAGAAACUUUAUUUCUCCCUUUGGAAAAAAUGAGGAAAAUAUUUUUAUAUUCCUCUUAAAGUUAAAAGAAAUGUUGAAGGGGGGGCAUUCCCUGGUGGUUCAGUGGUUGAGAUUCUGCACUUCUACUGCAGGGGCCCCAGGUUCAAUCCCUGGUAGGGGAACUAAGAUCCCGCAAGCCACGCGGCACAGCCAAAAAAGAAAAAAAGUUGAAGGGGAAACACAGUGAAAUAGCUUAUCAUAUGUAAAUAUAUCAAUCAUCACUUUUUAUUUUAGUUUAAAUAAUUUUCCUUAAUAGCUCAGUAAGGUCUCAUGGCUAUUAUGAACAUUUAUGUUUGAUAACUUCCAUAAGAAUCUUGACAUUUUCUGUGAAAAAACCAUCAAAAAUUAGCACAUCUAAGCUUCUAGCCAAAAAACUGAAGCACUUAAAUUUAACAAAUGCUGUUAAAAAUUUCUUUUACUUGAAAUCUAAAUCCUAUGGUAUAUUAGGCAGACUAUGAAACUAAUAUGAAAUUUUCACCUAUCUUUUUAGUCAAGUUCCCAUCAUAAAACUAAGUUUAUUAGCUGAUCAAAUCCUAUUGUUUUUCCCUUACGUAUUUUAAAAAGAGUUUUACCUUCUAAAAUCUGCAAUAAAAUUACAUAGCUGUAAGACUGAAAAAACUGCUUACCUGCAGGAAGCAAGCUGUUUCGUAAAGUUGUUCUACAGUGCUGUCAUUUAUUGCCAGGUUACCCGUGUAUGCGUACGUUAUUAUUAUCUGUAAGGUGGCUGAAUCCACAUUCCUCAGGUGUAUGUGUGUCUGUUUGCUUUCACUUAGUCCACUCAUGAACAUGGCCCUAUAGUAGAGAUGGGGAAAACAAAUGUAAGGCUAAAAAGAAAAACUAGACAAUAUGGGAUGUUUAUUUAGGGUAUUUGCUGAUGGACAACUUAUAGGGAAAGCUUUCAAGGGAAACAACAGAAAAUUAUAAUCCAGUGCCAAAGAUAUACCAAACUACUCCACUGUGCCAUUCUCAGUGAUAACAUCAAAACUAAUUUAAUCCUUAUAGUCAUACAGGAAUUCAGCAAUAAAAAGGAACUCUAUUAUACGUGCUACAACACAAACCUCAAAAUGAUUAUGCUCAGUGAAAAAAAGGCAGAUACAAAAGACACAUACUGUAUGAUGUGUAUACAAAUAUAUAUGAGGCAAAUAUAUAGAGGCAGAAGGGAGAUUAGUGGUUGCCUAGGGCUGUGGGUAAGAACAGUGAGUGACUGUAAAUUGGCACAAAGUGAUGGAAAUGUUUCAAAUUAAAUUGUAAAGAUACUAAAAUUCAUUUACUUGUGUGUAAAUUUGAUCUCAAUAAAGCCGUUAAAAAUUUCA